AGAGGGUGCAAGCGUUGUUCGGAAUUAUUGGGCGUAAAGCGCGUGUAGGCGGCUUGGCAAGUCAGAUGUGAAAGCCCUCGGCUUAACCGAGGAAGUGCGUCUGAAACUGCUGAGCUUGAGUGUCGGAGAGGAUGGCGGAAUUCCGCAAGUAGAGGUGAAAUUCGUAGAUAUGCGGAGGAACACCGGUGGCGAAGGCGGCCAUCUGGACGACUACUGACGCUGAGACGCGAAAGCGUGGGGAGCAAACAGGAUUAGAUACCCUGGUAGUCCACGCUGUAAACGAUGAGGACUAGGUGUCGUGGGUGUUGACCCCCGCGGUGCCGCAGCUAACGCAUUAAGUUCUCCGCCUGGGAAGUACGGCCGCAAGGCUA
rnacentral:rRNA from 1 species